UCCCCUGUAGCUCAAUGGUAGAGCGUGCGACUGUUAAUCGCCAGGUUCCUAGUUCGAGUCUAGGCGGGGGAG
rnacentral:tRNA from 1 species